rnacentral:rRNA from 1 species
CCUACGGGUGGCAGCAGUGAGGAAUAUUGGUCAAUGGGCGGGAGGCUGAACCAGCCAAGUCGCGUGAAGGAUGACUGCCCUACGGAUUGUAAACUUCUUUUGUAAAGGGAUAAAGUGAGGCACGUGUGCCUGUUUGUGUGUACUUUAUGAAUAAGGAUCGGCUAACUCCGUGCCAGCAGCCGCGGUAAUACGGAGAAUGCGAGCGUUAUCCGGAUUUAUUGGGUUUAAAGGGAGCGUAGAUGGGUUGUUAAGUCAGUUGUGAAAGUUUGCGGCUCAACCGUAAAAUUGCAAUUGAUACUGGCAGUCUUGAGUACAGUUGAGGUAGGCGGAAUUCGUGGUGUAGCGGUGAAAUGCUUAGAUAUUACGAAGAACUCCGAUUGCGAAGGCAGCUUACUAACCUGCAUCUGACAUUGAUGCUCGAAAGUGUGGGUAUCAAACAGGAUUAGAUACCCUUGUAGUC